GACGAACGCUGGCGGCGUGCCUAAUACAUGCAAGUCGAGCGAAGUUUUUCUGGUGCUUGCACCGGAAAAACUUAGCGGCGAACGGGUGAGUAGCACGUAAAGAACCUGCCUCAUAGACUGGGACAACUAUUGGAAACGAUAGCUAAUACCGGAUAACAGCAUUAACUGCAUGGUUGAUGUUUAAAAGUUGGUUUUGCUAACACUAUGAGAUGGCUUUGCGGUGCAUUAGCUAGUUGGUGGGGUAAAGGCCUACCAAGGCGACGAUGCAUAGCCGACCUGAGAGGGUGAUCGGCCACACUGGGACUGAGACACGGCCCAGACUCCUACGGGAGGCAGCAGUAGGGAAUCUUCCGCAAUGGGCGAAAGCCUGACGGAGCAACGCCGCGUGAGUGAAGAAGGAUUUCGGUUCGUAAAGCUCUGUUGUUAGGGAAGAAUGAUUGUGUAGUAACUAUACACAGUAGAGACGGUACCUAACCAGAAAGCCACGGCUAACUACGUG
rnacentral:rRNA from 1 species